rnacentral:rRNA from 1 species
AUGUUUUUGGUCGUGAUCCGGUUUCGUCCAAUGCUUAUCAUCGCGGGGGGAGCAGUCCGUGGAAAUUUGAUGCCGGUUUCUUAUGCAGGAGCUCGAAGCACCUGCUCCCGGGCCGCCAUUUUAGACACGGUCUGGGCUGGUAGCUGUCAGGGUUCCGAGGGGAGCCUGGCAUUGAUUUGCACUGCUCGGUUACUCACAGUUUUAGGUGAUGUGCAGGUUGCUGCACACGCCGGAAUUUGCUAUGGUGUCUCCCAAGGAGAUCUCUGGUUCAAGCCCAGGGGAAGUGCAGAAAUUCGGUAA